rnacentral:rRNA from 1 species
GGAGAAAGUGGGGGAUCUUCGGACCUCACGCUAUCAGAUGAGCCUAGGUCGGAUUAGCUAGUUGGUGGGGUAAAGGCCUACCAAGGCGACGAUCCGUAACUGGUCUGAGAGGAUGAUCAGUCACACUGGAACUGAGACACGGUCCAGACUCCUACGGGAGGCAGCAGUGGGGAAUAUUGGACAAUGGGCGAAAGCCUGAUCCAGCCAUGCCGCGUGUGUGAAGAAGGUCUUCGGAUUGUAAAGCACUUUAAGUUGGGAGGAAGGGCAGUAAGUUAAUACCUUGCUGUUUUGACGUUACCAACAGAAUAAGCACCGGCUAACUUCGUGCCAGCAGCCGCGGUAAUACGAAGGGUGCAAGCGUUAAUCGGAAUUACUGGGCGUAAAGCGCGCGUAGGUGGUUCAGCAAGUUGGAUGUGAAAUCCCCGGGCUCAACCUGGGAACUGCAUCCAAAACUACGGAGCUAGAGUACGGUAGAGGGUGGUGGAAUUUCCUGUGUAGCGGUGAAAUGCGUAGAUAUAGGAAGGAACACCAGUGGCGAAGGCGACCACCUGGACUGAUACUGACACUGAGGUGCGAAAGCGUGGGGAGCAAACAGGAUUAGAUAACCCUGGUAGUCCAUCGCCGUAAACGAUGUCGACU